rnacentral:rRNA from 1 species
UGGUGGACGGGUGAGUAACGCGUGGGUAACCUGCCUCAUACAGGGGGAUAACAGUUAGAAAUGACUGCUAAUACCGCAUAAGACCACAGCACCGCAUGGUGCGAGGGUAAAAACUCCGGUGGUAUGAGAUGGACCCGCGUCUGAUUAGGUAGUUGGUGGGGUAACGGCCUACCAAGCCGACGAUCAGUAGCCGACCUGAGAGGGUGACCGGCCACAUUGGGACUGAGACACGGCCCAA